GACCCAAUGGCACAACGGUUAGUGCACUUGCUUCAGUUAAUUUGUGACCAUUAGAUGGUUUGGGCAAGAGGUCCUCGUUCGAUUCGGGGUUGGGCCA